rnacentral:tRNA from 1 species
GCUUUCUUGGUGUAGUCGGUUAUCACGUCGGUCUCAUAGCUAGUCUAUGACUAGCUUUAAAAGCUAGCGAUCCGAAGGCCGCCAGUUCGAAUCUGGCAGAGAGCA